rnacentral:misc_RNA from 1 species
GCUCCGUAGGUGAACCUGCGGAGGGAUCAUUACGAAUGACCCCGGUCUAACCACCGGGAUGUUCAUAACCCUUUGUUGUCCGACUCUGUUGCCUCCGGGGCGACCCUGCCUUCGGGCGGGGGCUCCGGGUGGACACUUCAAACUCUUGCGUAACUUUGCAGUCUGAGUAAACUUAAUUAAUAAAUUAAAACUUUUAACAACGGAUCUCUUGGUUCUG